AGUCGAACGAUGAACCUCGCUUGCGGGGGGAUUAGUGGCGAACGGGUGNNUAACACGUGAGUAACCUGCCCUUAACUCUGGGAUAAGCCUUGGAAACGGGGUCUAAUACUGGAUAUUGACUUUACCUCGCAUGGGGUUUGGUUGAAAGAUUUAUUGGUUUUGGAUGGACUCGCGGCCUAUCAGCUUGUUGGUGAGGUAAUGGCUCACCAAGGCGACGACGGGUAGCCGGCCUGAGAGGGUGACCGGCCACACUGGGACUGAGACACGGCCCAGACUCCUACGGGAGGCAGCAGUGGGGAAUAUUGCACAAUGGGCGAAAGCCUGAUGCAGCGACGCCGCGUGAGGGAUGACGGCCUUCGGGUUGUAAACCUCUUUCAGUAGGGAACAAGGCCAGCAUUUUUGUUGGUUGAGGGUACUUGCAGAAGAAGCGCCGGCUAACUACGUGCCAGCAGCCGCGGUAAUACGUAGGGCGCAAGCGUUAUCCGGAAUUAUUGGGCGUAAAGAGCUCGUAGGCGGUUUGUCGCGUCUGCCGUGAAAGUCCGGGGCUCAACUCCGGAUCUGCGGUGGGUACGGGCAGACUAGAGUGAUGUAGGGGAGACUGGAAUUCCUGGUGUAGCGGUGAAAUGCGCAGAUAUCAGGAGGAACACCGAUGGCGAAGGCAGGUCUCUGGGCAUUAACUGACGCUGAGGAGCGAAAGCAUGGGGAGCGAACAGGAUUAGAUACCCUGGUAGUCCAUGCCGUAAACGUUGGGCACUAGGUGUGGGGGACAUUCCACGUUUUCCGCGCCGUAGCUAACGCAUUAAGUGCCCCGCCUGGGGAGUACGGCCGCAAGGCUAAAACUCAAAGGAAUUGACGGGGGCCCGCACAAGCGGCGGAGCAUGCGGAUUAAUUCGAUGCAACGCGAAGAACCUUACCAAGGCUUGACAUGAACUGGAAAUACCUGGAAACAGGUGCCCCGCUUGCGGUCGGUUUACAGGUGGUGCAUGGUUGUCGUCAGCUCGUGUCGUGAGAUGUUGGGUUAAGUCCCGCAACGAGCGCAACCCUCGUUCUAUGUUGCCAGCACGUGAUGGUGGGGACUCAUAGGAGACUGCCGGGGUCAACUCGGAGGAAGGUGAGGACGACGUCAAAUCAUCAUGCCCCUUAUGUCUUGGGCUUCACGCAUGCUACAAUGGCCGGUACAAUGGGUUGCGAUACUGUGAGGUGGAGCUAAUCCCAAAAAGCCGGUCUCAGUUCGGAUUGGGGUCUGCAACUCGACCCCAUGAAGUCGGAGUC
rnacentral:rRNA from 1 species